rnacentral:rRNA from 1 species
CCUACGGGAGGCAGCAGUGGGGAAUAUUGCGCAAUGGGCGAAAGCCUGACGCAGCGACGCCGCGUGAGGGAUGAAGGUCUUCGGAUCGUAAACCUCUGUCAGCAGGGCAGAACGGUCACUGUGCUAAUCAGCAGUGAAUUGACGGUACCUGCAAAGGAAGCACCGGCUAACUCCGUGCCAGCAGCCGCGGUAAUACGGAGGGUGCGAGCGUUAAUCGGAAUUACUGGGCGUAAAGCGAUCGUAGGCGGUAUGUCAAGUCAAGGGGGAAAUCCCCGCGCUCAACGUGGGAACUGCCUUUGAAACUGGCAAACUGGAGUGUGUGAGAGGAUAGUGGAAGUCCAGGUGUAGGAGUGAAAUCCGUAGAUAUCUGGAGGAACAUCAGUGGCGAAGGCGACUAUCUGGCACAUAACUGACGCUGAGGAGCGAAAGCGUGGGUAGCAAACAGGAUUAGAUACCCUGGUAGUC